rnacentral:lncRNA from 1 species
GGUCUAGGGAUAGGUCUGCUAUGAUGCGCCAUCUGCCGUAGAUCAAGAACAAUGUUAAAGAAGUAUAUACAAUAAUUAAAUAUAAAAUUUUUGGGUUAUAGAUGCAUCAAUAGGUUAAAUUUUAAGAAAAUCCUAAAAUCCUAAGGAAUCAACUGGGAUUUAAACAUUACAACUUAAUUAUAGAGAAGAAAUAGAGGGAAGAUUAGGGCUC